rnacentral:rRNA from 1 species
CUACGUGCCAGCAGCCGCGGUAAUACGUAGGUGGCAAGCGUUGUCCGGAAUUAUUGGGCGUAAAGCGCGCGCAGGCGGAUUGGUCAGUCUGUCUUAAAAGUUCGGGGCUUAACCCCGUGAUGGGAUGGAAACUGCCAAUCUAGAGUAUCGGAGAGGAAAGUGGAAUUCCUAGUGUAGCGGUGAAAUGCGUAGAUAUUAGGAAGAACACCAGUGGCGAAAGCGGCUUUCUGGACGAAAACUGACGCUGAGGCGCGAAAGCCAGGGGAGCGAACGGGAUUAGAUACCCCGGUAGUCCUGGCCGUAAACGAUGGGUACUAGGUGUAGGAGGUAUCGACCCCUUCUGUGCCGGAGUUAACGCAAUAAGUACCCCGCCUGGGGAGUACGACCGCAAGGUUGAAACUCAAAGGAAUUGACGGGGGCCCGCACAAGCGGUGGAGUAUGUGGUUUAAUUCGACGCAACGCGAAGAACCUUACCAGGUCUUGACAU